rnacentral:rRNA from 1 species
UACAGGGGGUGCAAACGUUGCUCGGAAUCAUUGGGCGUAAAGCGCACGUAGGCGGUUCGUUAUGUCGGAUGUGAAAGCCCUUGGCUUAACCGAGGAAGUGCAUCCGAAACUGGCGAGCUAGAGUACUAAAGAGGAUCGCGGAAUUCCCGGUGUAGAGGUGAAAUUCGUAGAUAUCGGGAGGAACACCGGUGGCGAAGGCGGCGAUCUGGGUAGAUACUGACGCUGAGGAGCGAAAGCGUGGGGAGCAAACAGG